ensembl:lncRNA
GAUUUUAUUCUUUUUUUUAAUGAAGUCAACAUUAUAUUUUCCCUGCAUUCAGUGGAAACAAUAAUGGAAAUGUUUUAAGAUGUACUGUGAACCUGUUUUGACCUUAAAAGGGAGAGUAAUAAAAAAUAUCCUUGAUUUUGAUUAAGUUCUAAGAAGGAAAUUAAAAUUAAAUACUUGGAGUUGCAGUUGAGAAGAAAGUAUUUAUCAGGUGGGGAAACAAACAGAGAAAUGAACUGUGAGCAGUCACAUCUUCCAAGUGAGAAUAUGAUAUUAAAAAAAAAGCAGCACAACAAAGUAAGGUAGUUUAGAAUAAACCAUGGUAUCUGUUGUCUUUCAGAUGGUUUCUGCAAACUGGUAAGGUUACAGGCAGGGCAAAUGAAAGGUGUAUCUGCAGCUUAAACAGUUGAAGUCACAUCAAACAAGCAAAACAGUGUAAGUAAAUCAUCACUUAGUUAAUGCUUUUUUAUCUUUCCUUUUAUUUUAUGCUAAGUUUAGUGAAAUAAUGCAGUUCCUUGACAAGUGAAAUGUGCUAAUGUUGGUGCAAAGGAUAUCACAGCAGGUAUGCGUAACUGGAAUUGGAAAGAGGAGAAAAUAAAUUUCUUGGCUUGUCCAUGCUGUGUAGCUUCAGAAGAAAUACAUCUACAUCUGCAUUGCCAAACUAGAACUGGGACCCACCAUGGACUCUUAUCUUCCUUAUUUACACUUCUGCCUUCUGCUCUGGAAAAAAAGAAGUGUUACUCUCUUAUUGUACGAUUCACUGGAAAAUGAAGAUGUGUUGUCCUGCAUGUGUUUUCUUUCCAGAAACCUGAGCUGAUAAUCAUUACAACUGCAGCUGCAAACUUAUCACGUGACACCAGAUUCUUUGAGCAUACUGUGCUAUUUCCCUGAACUGACUUGUGGGAAUCUGAGAGAAAAAUGAGGAUCCGCUGCAGGUGCUAGCUGAAAUCAAUGGAGGCAAAUAACCUUUUUCCUCCACAGUCAUUGCAAGCAUGGAAAAUGUAGAUAACCAAAGAAGUACUGUCUGUUCGAGCAUCCAAAAUUUACCUAGUGCGUGCAGAGAAAGCUCAGUUAUUUUAGAAAUAACACUGAUGCACAGCGAAGUUGCCCUCCAUCCUGAGAGCUUCAGCAUGAGUGCUGCCUACACACAGGAGAAUGGCAGAGCUUUCCCAAAGGGACCUCAGCAGGCCAGGCACUGCGCAAGCUCUUGGUGUAAUUUGCUCUGCUCCUCUCCAGGAUGAACAGAAGUAAUACUUGGGACUGUCAGCCAUUUUGUUAAAUGC